GGGUUGGAAUGAGGGAGUUUGAUAUUUUCCAGAGGGUCGGUUGAGGUGUUCAAAGAGUUGUAAAAGAAUUUUUCUAGUAUAGAGGCAAUUAAAAAAUAGGUGACUGAUGAACUCGAUUUCCUGACUGCAGGGUUGGUUGGUUGUAUGGGAACACCCCAUGCAUUGAUCAUCUGUAGAGUUUUGAUUUAUUUAUUCUUGAUCCUCCACAACAUUACUGAGAAUUUUGUCAACAUAUGUAAUCAUAUACCUUUGGCUAAAGGAUCUUUUGAGACAAUGGUUCUUAAGGUUUCAAUGAUGAUUUCUAAGUUCUGUCUCUCAAAUCCCUCAACUCAGUGGCAUGUUGGAAUUUUGAGAAUUAUGGUAAUGAAGGUGUGAUAGGUUCCUUUCAACAAUGAUCAUAUACAUAUGAAUACCAAUCAUUUUUUUUGAUAAGUUACAUGAUAUAUAAAUAAAUAAAAAUAUAUAUACUAGUCCAGUCAUGAAUUUCAUGAUCUUUUAUUUUUUUUUAAUAAGGAGGGAGCUCCACGUGGGUACGGCUGAUAAAAAUUAGUUCGUAGACUGCACCAGCCAGUCCGCCGCCGAUAAGCGGCCCUACCCAGUACACCCAGUGAUUUUUCCAGUCCCAGCUUACUAAAGCCGGACCAAAAGACAUGGCUGGGUUC
rnacentral:lncRNA from 1 species